UAACAGCUAUCAGCUAACAGCUAUCAGUUGUAUCCAACAGUUAAACCAAACAGGCUCUCAAUCUAUAUCCGACCAAUAGGUCCCCUGCAAAAUUAAAUCUAAAAGGAAAUCAUGAUAAGUUAAAAAAAAUCCCUAACAAAAGAAUAGAUUUAGAUUUAUUAUUGAAUACAAUUAAUUAAAAUAAAAUUAGGAGACCAGUGAGAAGUUAUUUACCUUGGGGUAUUUUAUAUCCAUGUU
rnacentral:misc_RNA from 1 species